rnacentral:lncRNA from 1 species
AUAAAGACAUAAAGAGACCAGGUGAUCUCUCCAACGGUCUCCAGCUCUAGCAUUCUGUGGAUUCGUGCGGGUUUUGUUCCAAAUUCCGCCAUCUACUUCCUGAGGGAGGCCGCUGCUCCCCUUCCUAAGAGGGAAAAUGACCUUUGUGCACCAACCGGUGGCCUGCACACUCUGGGUGCUCCAUAUACUUGGUGGUGGGAUGCCAAGGAUCCAGCCCAGGGUGGAAAUCUCCACCAGCACUGGAGUGCACGUUCUGUUCCAGCCACCGCUCCAGCUCCUAGGUGCAUGGACUGAUUUCACCCCACAACAGUCCUGUGAGGCAGGUACUGUUACUAGCCCUGUCUUACAGGUGAGGCCGCUGAGGCUCAGGGAACUGAGCCCGAGGCCGCAGAGCUGGUGGCAAAGCUGAGAUUAGAGCCCAGGUGGUCCGGCAGGCAGCCUAGCCCACAUUCUUAGCAGCUCCCUACCUCAGGCCCUCCCCCAAGCCCCUGGCCCGAUGGAGCCCAGCUUCUGUGCCCUCCCAGCCCUGCCCCUCCUCUGUCAGGAGCACAGGAAACCCGGCCUUGUUUGGGGUUGGGCAAGGCAGGGCUGGUUUCUUGGAGUCCCUCCUGUAAUAGGCAGUGGAGGGGAGAGCAGUGUGGAUUAUUGACCCUGAGCCCAGAAGAGAAGGAGAACAGAGGGGAUGAGGAGAUGAGUGUGAGCGGAGGUCAGUGGCGACUGGUUGUAAGAGCUGGAAGGAUUAGGGACAGCAGAUGGGGCGGGUCCCCUCUAACUCCCCCCUCAAACAACCCCAGCCACGCCAGCCACAUGGCUGGCCACGGUAUUAGAAGAAACCUCCCCAAAGCACCCAAAAGGGAUGUGCCAGCAAGAGCAGCUGCAUUCUCCUAUUAAAUUCCUCACGGGGCUGUGGGACCCCAAGUCAACAAGAGGGGGUUCUAGGAAAGUGUGAUUAAGGGCCCCACGACUGUAUUUAUCUGACACCCAACAUCUGGAUGAAACGUGACAAAUCAUCAUUGUCAAGGUUUCUGUCUUUCUUUUCUUUUUUCGUUUCUUUUUUUUUUUCCUGUACAAAGCUCUAGGUAUUUAGAAGCAUCUGGGUGAUGGGCUGGCUGGUUCUGCUUUUUGUCCAGAUGUUCAGCGUUCCCUAGGUUCAGCCUGAUGGUGGUUGCUGUAGAGACAGGUUCAAAUUGAGGAGGCCAGGGGAUCGUGAGGGAGGAGAGGUGGCACUUCUGCCCUGUGGAACCUUCUGCCCCUUGGCUCACUCUGUCCUCACCAGAAAAUUUGUUCUCCCCAACCCCCGCCAGGUGCAUGAAGCUAAGAGACACUGCCUUUUAUACAACAUCUUCCGCUGGGAAUCGGCCCGGCCCAGCACAAAAUUAGCUGGCGUCUUACGGCUCCUGGAUUAUGCA